UCUCUCACCAGUUGCCCCGGGUAGCCUGGGAGAAGCACCCACUCAGACCCUGACCUGACCCACAUCACACACCCAGGUGUGAAGCCUCCGGGCAACUUGAGCCCCACCACCAUGGGCUCUUCUCUUGGGGCAGGGGGCAGAGCCGUUCUGGGCCUCAUGGCCCUCCUCUGGGCCCUCGUGGUUCCAGGCAUCCAGCAGGAGAUCAGGGUGUUCCAGCGGUCCGUGAUGGUGGGGCACGCGGGUGGAGCUAUCACUAUGCCCUGUCAGAUCAGUAAGUCUGUGGAUUACGUCCACUGGUUCCGCCAACUGGAGGGCCAGGCCCCUGAGAGGCUUCUCUAUCUAGCCUUGUCCAAGCGGGAUGUGCAGUGGGAUUCGGUCCUAAGAGGUGAUAAAGUCAACGCGGCCCGCGGCACGGAUGGCAAGAGCUGCACCAUGUCCUUGAGGAAGCUGGCGAAGAGCGACGAAGGACUGUACUACUGUGCUACCUGGGAAUCGAAUUUAAACAACAUGAUCUUUGGUGAAGGAACAAAAGUUUUCGUCCUAGAUAAAAAACUUCCUGCAGAUACCUCCCCAAAACCCACAAUUUUUCUUCCUUCAAUUAAUGAAGUCAACCAUCAACAGGCUGCAACAUAUCUUUGUCUCCUGGAAAAUUUUUUCCCUGAUGUUAUUAAGGUUUCUUGGAAAGAAAAGAAUAGCAACAGAGUUCUGCCAUCCCAUCAGGGAAAUACCACAAAGACCAAUGACACAUACAUGACGUUCAGCUGGCUGACCGUGACAGAAAACUCCAUGCAUAAAGAGCACAUAUGUAUCGUCCAACAUGAGAAAACUACAAGAGGAAAAGAUCAAGAGAUUCUUUUUCCUGCAGUGAAUGAAGUUUUCAACCCAGUUGUCACUACUACUGAGCCUCCAAAUGAUUGUUUGAAAGAUGAAAGUGAAUUCGCUAAUUCUACAAAAGCAUGUCUGAAAGAUGAAAACAAUACCGUGCAGCUGCAGUUCACGUACAACUCUGCUUACUACACCUACCUCCUCCUCCUCCUCAAGAGUGCCAUCUACUUUGUCACCACCUCCUGCUGCGUGUUUAGGAGAACAGGUGUCUGCUGUGACGGGAAGAACUCGUGACGCAGGGGACAGCAAAGGGGCCAAUUUCCCUUCUUCAUCUAUUGUGUCAGAAACUCUCUACUGAAGACCUAGCCAGCCUUGCUUUCUGGGUUUGGGUUAUUUCAGGUGUUGUGUCUAAUUUUCUAUCAUUGUAUAAGGGUUUUUCAAAGCACUGGGCAGACAGUUUUCCUCUCUGACAAGAAUUCUGCCAUUACUCAAAGGCACGGCCCAGGGCUAGUCCAGGGGAGCCUCUCCCACCACUGUCCCCACAACCUCAUCAGCUCCUCCCCACCCCCAAGUCCUCAUGCCCCCCUGGAGCACACACAGUGCGUAUUUCCCUGUUUCCUCCUUGAGCAUCUCCACCGAGACCAUGGCCCUGAUCUUCCGUCACACACCCUGGAGAUGCUGGCUUUGCUACUUGAAUCCUGUACUUUGGUUUUCACAAUAAGCACAAUAAAUUUUAAAAAAGAAAUCAAAA